CCCUAUUCCCCCAUUUUCUAAUUCGCACCAUCAAAGUUUCUAGCUUUCUUGACAAUGUGGUAUACUUUCAGAGGCGACCUUCUUGCACGAGGGUUUGGGCAGAAGAUUGUUGUCUUCCUCAACAAGAACGCGGUCGUUACAGACUAUGCGAUUCGAGGCAUGAAGACAUGGCUGACGGAACUAGCAAUUGGGAUUGCGACGAUACCAUUGAAGAUGACGAAGGAGCUUGGCCAGACCCGUCUUGCAAACACUGCAGAAUUGCAGGCUGUGAAAGCAUUCAUGUUUCAAAGAAACGGUUUCAUAUGUUAGUUCCAGUUGAGGAAGUGUGGAAUGAAUGCCUUAAUGAAAGUGUUUUGGAUAAUCCACAAGGAAAUUCCUUGCUGUAUGUGGUAAUACACAUGAAUGCCUAUGCCCAUUUACUUUGGAUUUAAAGAAGUUCUUCUGGUGUGAUGUCUGGCAGUAACUUGAUGGAUAUAUGGGACUGUUUAUGUCAGAAUCUCGAAAUAAGGGAUGUUACCUUGGAGGUUGUUUCCAAGAAAGGGAAUGUUGAUCUUCGCUUGCUUUGUGGGGUGGCUCACGGAAGAUCCUGGUUCGAUAGGUGGGGAUACAAAUUUUGGAGAGGGAGUUAUGGAGUAGAUGAAGUGAAGUAUGAGAUUGCCCUAGCUUAUCUCCGUAACCUUAACAUUUAUCAGGUUGCAACAAGGUGGAGGACCAAUAUGCUCUAGUUCAUUGUCUGGAGGGAGUACUUGAAUGUUACCGAGGUCUCAAUCGUUUCCCAUUCAAGACUUUAAGUGACUUGCUUGCGUUCAUUCUGACUUAUCCUGUCAAAUCAAGGAUGGCAAAAGAGGCACAUACCAUUGCUAGUAUACCCCGCAAAGGUUGGACUAGGGAGCAAAUAAGGGAGGCGUUAAAGGUACUGAUCAGUAUACUGGAUAAGAGAGGCCUUGUAAGCGGGGAAAACCUCAUUGAGGCAGCUAGCUCCAAAGUAAGUCCAGGUGAGCUACUGGAAUAUGCAAUUUCAACAAUGAAGAAUCUGAAGUGUGUGCUGCACCAAAUUGUGGCUUGUAAGGAGAAUCCAAUCUCAAAUCUGAUGGACAGAUGGAGUAUAGAUUAGACUGUUCCUCUCACAACAACUGAGGCCAUUGAUUAUUACGAUGAUGCAGUUUUUGUAUAUGAAACUGUUGUUCUACAAUACCGCAAAGUCGGCAGUGAAUAUUCAAUGGUGAAGUUGUGUGUAGACACCAUGUUAAAGUACAAUUACCUUGUGAAGGGAACAAAACCAUGUUGCAAAGGCUCUGGUAAAAAGAUGAAGUGCAAGUGUGGCACGUGUAAAGAUGAUGGAGAAAGAUUCUUGCAAUGCAUCAUGUGCGAGGUCUAUGAGCACUUGAAGUGCGGUGGGAUGGAUAAAACUGACACUGAGGCAUAUGUACAUAUCUGUGAUUGCUGCCUUACAGAACAGAAGGAAAAGCAGCUUGUUGCUGAAGCAAAGGAGAAGAGUAAGGCAGAGCUAGACAUUAUUGGAGAAGAUGAAGUCAGGCAAAUCUAAGACGAGAUAAAUGCAUGCAGCUGCCUUGUGAUUUUGCUUUACUCCUAUUUGCUGUGUUGGAAGUGGUAGUGUAGAUAACCCACCACAGAUAGAAAGUGUGGCUUUUAAGUGUAAUGGUAAGGAAGGCAGCAGCUUUACCUUAUUGCUUCACAUUUGUUUGUUUUGCUCAAGCUGUAAGUGAUAUUGUAGAGAAUUCAGAACAGUUAGACAUAUGUUCGUUUCUCUCAAAGCCUCUAAGUGAUAUUGUAGAGAACUCAGAACAGACGGAGUGUAGUUU